UUACUAGAGUAGCACUCGCAUAUCAAUAAGCGGAGGAAAAGAAACUAACAAGGAUUCCCCUAGUAACGGCGAGUGAAGCGGGAAGAGCUCUAAUUUGAAAUUUUAAAGGGUUUCCCUUUACGAAUUGUAGUUUAAAGAAGUGUUUUCUGUUGAGGUUUUGGUAAAAGUUCUUUGGAAUAGGACAUCAUAGAGGGUGAGAAUCCCGUAUUUGACCUUUACUUUCAACUUUGUGAUACACUUUCAAAGAGUCGGAUUGUUUGGGAAUGCAGUCCAAAAUGGGUGGUAAAUUUCAUCUAAAGCUAAAUAUUGGCGAGAGACCGAUAGCGAACAAGUACCGUGAGGGAAAGAUGAAAAGAACUUUGAAAAGAGAGUUAAACAGUACGUGAAAUUGUCAAAAGGGAAGCGUUUGACACCAGUGUUGUUUUUCUGAAAAUCAAUUAAAGAACUGUUUAUGCCUAGUUGUUUAGACUUUAUCAGCUAACUGUUUAGUUUUGAGCUUUUCUUUAAUGCACUUUUCAGUUAACAAGUCAACAUCAAUUUCUUUUGCUGUAAAAAAGCUUGAGGAAGGUGGCUUGAGAUUCGUCUUAAGUGUUUAUAGCCUCUUGCCUAUGCAGUCGGAGAGAUUGAGGUCUGCAGCGUAGAUCCUUCGGGGCUAAAUGCAUUUGUGCUAAGUUAUAGCAUUUUAUAGACAACUUGUUGACUAUGAUUUGUCUUGUAGCUUACUCGCUUAUGUUAUUUUACCUACGCUUAGGAUGUUGAGCGCAUGUCUCUCUCU
rnacentral:rRNA from 1 species